rnacentral:rRNA from 1 species
CCUACGGGUGGCAGCAGGGAGGAAUAGUGGUCAAUGGGCGCGAGCCUGAACCAGCCAAGUAGCGUGAAGGAUGACUGCCCUACGGGUUGUAAACUUCUUUUAUAAAGGAAUAAAGUGAGGCACGUGUGCCUUUUUGUAUGUACUUUAUGAAUAAGGAUCGGCUAACUCCGUGCCAGCAGCCGCGGUAAUACGGAGGAUCCGAGCGUUAUCCGGAUUUAGUGGGUUUAAAGGGUGCGUCGGCUGUGAGGUAAGGCAGCGGUGAAAUGCCCCCGCUCACCGGGGUGAAGUGCCCUUGAUACUGCCUUGCUGGACUGCGGCUGCCGUGGGCGGUAUGUGUUGUGUAUCGGU